rnacentral:piRNA from 1 species
UGAGUUAUGAGUCAUAGGUGGCUGC